UUAUUUGAAUUGGCAAACUAUAGGAGUAAGCAGCAUGUCGAACUUUAGGAAAUUCUUUAAAUAAUUGGCACGUUGUCAGCUCACGGACAAGUGUCCAGAUCGCUUGUCCGAAUGCUCUAAAUCAAACCUGGCAUUCGUCAGGUUUUUUUGUGUCUGUUCAUAGGUGUUGAAAAUU
rnacentral:ncRNA from 1 species